CCACAACUGCAGCCACAUGCUGGCGGUUUCAGAGUUUAGUUUACAGUUUGAAACCCUGACUCUGACACAGACGUAUCUGCUGCACGGAUUGUAACCUCAGGGAGAGAAGCAGGAACCACCACAGAGGCAGAAACUGAGAAUUCAUCGCCUUCACUUAUCGCCAUCGUCAAAGGAUCGUAUAUGAAAAUUGAAGGAUGCAGCGGGGUUGUAAACGGAGCUUACGGUCUCUCUAAAAGGUACAUGGCCCAGGACAGGGGGCCCGAGCUGGAGAACGCCCCAGGGUUCAUGCUUCGAUCCUGGGUGCUGAAGCAGCAACAGCUGGGGCCAAAAGUCCGACACCCAGAGGGGAGAGCGAGGAUGUAUCAAGGGAGUUUCUGGAGCUAAAUUUGGACACUAUCCGGGAGAUGGCACCAAGUUUCAGCAGCAGUCUGCAGAGGAAAUGGUAAAGAAGGCCUGUUGCAGCAAAGAUGGAGGACAAGGUGAAAGGACCACGCUGAUGAUGCAGCUUGUUAACAACAUGAAGGCUUUGUGAAACCACCACAUCCUCCUCCCAGUCUCACCCAUGCAUCAGCUGUACUCGAGAAAUCCUCAGGACCAAAACCAAGCCAGUUCCUGAAACAGUGGCUCCUGAGUACCAAAGCAGCCGGGGUGGACCAGAUAACAAGAAUCACAGACAGGACCACAGCAGGGACGAUCACCGCAGGCAUCAGGGCAGGACGUUUUAGGGCGGCCAACCAAGAGGCAGCCAGCCCAGAUAAACGAGCCCAGAUGCUGAUGAUGAUCUCGGCGCUGGAGGAGCUGCACAGGACAUUUAACAGCACCCUGAGCUCACGGAUCACCAUCAUGCCACGAGCAAACGGCAGAAAUUCAGGAAGAAAAAAUAAAUUGCCUCCGGGUGUCGAAGGAGGGUUGAAGCAAACCACUGCGGCCCCAGCAGCUGUUAACAGCACCGCCUCCAAAACCAGUGCAGACAUCAUCGUGCCCAGUCUGACCGGCCGCAACUUCAGGAAGUCGCUCCCACCACAGGGCAGGAAGACCAACAAACGAGUGUGUUUCUGGAAGUACUGCUCACAGAACUGAUCGCCUCUCGGCUGCUGGUGUCCUUCCAUACUCUCCAACCCUGUCCUCAUCCUCACCCAUCCAUUAUCCAUCCAUCCAUCCAUCCAUCCAUCCAUCCAUCCAUCCAGUCAACCUUAGUGUUUCCAAAUCUUGAGUAAGGAUUAUAUGGACUCUGAUCCCCACAUGACCUGGAGCUUAAACCCCUCUGCCACCCAGGGACUAGCACCACUUGAG